AGCCAAUCCAAAGUAAUCUUGCUUAUCAGCCCAAUAUGCUGAAGGUUUGUUACUACUGAUCUAGUCAUAGGCAGAUCUGAUAAAUCUAGGAGAAUAGGACACCUGGUAAGAUAUGAUGAUGAUAGUGAGAUCCUUUUCUAUUAGCUGAGGUGGGCGGUGCUGUGAAUAUUGCUACAGAGGUAGGGAAGUCUUUUGAGUUUGAUAAUUCUUCCAUGGUAGGAGUAUCUACUUCUUUUUUUCUUUUCUUUUCUCUUUUUUUUUUUUU